UACGAAGGGGGCUAGCGUUGUUCGGAAUCAUUGGGUUUAAAGGGUCCGUAGGCGGGAUAAUAAGUCAGUGGUGAAAGUCUGCAGCUCAACUGUAGAAUUGCCAUUGAUACUGUUGUUCUUGAGUGUUUAUGAAGUGGUUAGAAUAUGUAGUGUAGCGGUGAAAUGCAUAGAUAUUACAUAGAAUACCGAUUGCGAAGGCAGAUCACUAAUAAUUCACUGACGCUGAUGGACGAAAGCGUAGGUAGCGAACAGG
rnacentral:misc_RNA from 1 species